rnacentral:rRNA from 1 species
GAUGAACGCUAGCGGCAGGCCUAACACAUGCAAGUCGAGGGGCAGCACGUCUUCGGAUGGUGGCGACCGGCGCACGGGUGCGUAACGCGUAUGCAACCUACCUCUUACAGUGGGAUAGCCCAGAGAAAUUUGGAUUAAUACCGCAUAGUAUACAGAUUCAGCAUUGGGACUGUAUUAAACAUUUAUGGGUAAGAGAUGGGCAUGCGUUCUAUUAGUUAGUUGGAGUGGUAACGGCACCCCAAGACAGCGAUAGAUAGGGCCCGUGAGAGGGGGAGUCCCCCACCACUGGUACGUGAGACACGGACCAGACUCCUACGGGAGGCAGCAGUGAGGAAUAUUGGACAAUGGGCGGAGAGCCUCGAUCCAGCCAUGCCGCGUGCAGGAAGACGGCCC